rnacentral:rRNA from 1 species
AACGUAGGUGGCAAGCGUUAUCCGGAAUUACUGGGCGUAAAGGGUGUGCAGGCGGGGGAGCAAGUGGGGGGUGAAAUAUCCCAGCUUAACUGGGAGGGGUUAUGCCAGACUGCUUUUCUAGAGGACGAGAGAGGGGGGUGGAAUUCCGGGUGUAGUGGUGAAAUGCGUAGAGAUCCGGAGGAACCCCAGAGGCGAAGGCGGCCCCCUGGCUCGUACCUGACGCUCAGCCACGAAAGCAUGGGGAGCGAACGGG